UAGGAGCUGGGGAGCCCUUCUGCGCCACAGAAAAUUUCCAGAGACUUGGUGAAGAUAGGAAAGCUAUCAGAAAGACUAUAGCACUAUUGUACUGUAUUUGCUGUUUUUCCUGCAGCUCAGUCGAGGGAUAACUCAGCUGAUCUCUAUUUCUUGAUUCUUUACUUCCGAUUGGCCAACCAAGACUUUUAUUUGGCAAACUCUGUCGUACAGAACGUGACAUCAUCUAUGACCCAUAACAAGAGCACGUGUUUUCAAGUGUCAGUUAGAUUUGUGGAUCAAUAAAGUUUUCUUGAAAGGUGGUCACUCUUGGU
rnacentral:lncRNA from 1 species